rnacentral:rRNA from 1 species
CCUACGGGAGGCAGCAGUGGGGAAUCUUGCGCAAUGGGCGAAAGCCUGACGCAGCCAUGCCGCGUGAAUGAUGAAGGUCUUAGGAUUGUAAAAUUCUUUCACCGGGGACGAUAAUGACGGUACCCGGAGAAGAAGCCCCGGCUAACUUCGUGCCAGCAGCCGCGGUAAUACGAAGGGGGGCUAGCGUUGCUCGGAAUUACUGGGCGUAAAGGGAGCGUAGGCGGAUAGUUUAGUCAGAGGUGAAAGCCCAGGGCUCAACCUUGGAAUUGCCUUUGAUACUGGCUAUCUUGAGUAUGGGAGAGGUUAGCGGAACUCCGAGUGUAGAGGUGAAAUUCGUAGAUAUUCGGAAGAACACCAGUGGCGAAGGCGGCUAACUGGCCCAUUACUGACGCUGAGGCUCGAAAGCGUGGGGAGCAAACAGGAUUAGAUACCCUGGUAGUCCACGCCGUAAACGAUGAGUGCUAGUGCGCAUGCAUGCAUGUCGGUGACGCAGCUACGACAUAAGUACACUCCGCCGUCGGGAGGUACGGUCGCGAGAAUAAACUACAACUAGAAGUUAGACGGCGUGAGACGUAGCCGACGGACGACGACGAGGGAGGUAGG